AUUGAACGCUGGCGGCAUGCUUUACACAUGCAAGUCGAACGGCAGCGCUGUCAUCGCUCUCGCGGAGGGUGGCCGACGGGCGAGCAAUGCAUGGGAACGUGCCCAUCUGCGGUGGCUAGCGCGGCGACAGCCGGAUUAUUACGCUAAUCGACCAUAGGGUGAACGCGUGGGACCAAAAGGUCUUCCGCUAUUGGGGGGUCCAAUGUCGGAUUAGCUAGUUGGUGGGGUAAAGGCUUACCAAGGCGACGAUCCGUAGCUGGUCUGAGAGGACGACCAGCCACACUGGAACUGAGACACGGUCCAGACUCCUACGGGAGGCAGCAGUGGGGAAUUUUGGACAAUGGGGGCAAGCCUGAUCCAGCCAUACCGCGUGCGGGAAGAAGGCCUUCGGGUUGUAAGCCGCUUUUGUUGGGGAAGAAAACCUCUAGGCUAAUACCCCGGGGGGAUGACGGUACCGGAAGAAUAAGCACCGGCUAACUACGUG
rnacentral:rRNA from 1 species